GACGAACGCUGGCGGCGUGCUUAACACAUGCAAGUCGAACGGAAAGGCCCUGCUUUUGUGGGGUGCUCGAGUGGCGAACGGGUGAGUAACACGUGAGUAACCUGCCCUUGACUUUGGGAUAACUUCAGGAAACUGCGGCUCAUAUCGGAUAGGAGCUCUUGCUGCAUGGUGGGGGUUGGAAAGUUUCGGCGGUUGGGGCUGGACUCGCGGGUUAUCAGCUUGUUGGUGGGGUAGUGGAGUACCAAGGCUUUGACGGGUAGCCGGCCUGGGAGGGUGACCGGCGACAUGGGGACUGAGAUACGGCCCAGAAUCCUACGGGAGGCAGCAGUGGGGAAUAUUGCAGAAUGGGCGGAAGCCUGAUGCAGCAACGCCGCGUGCGGGAUGACGGCCUUCGGGUUGUAAACCGCUUUCGCCUGUGACGAAGCGUGAGUGACGGUAAUGGGUAAAGAAGCACCGGCUAACUACGUG
rnacentral:rRNA from 1 species